AUGAACGCUGGCGGCGUGCCUAAUACAUGCAAGUCGUGCGAACAGACGAGGAGCUUGCUCCUCUGACGUUAGCGGCGGACGGGUGAGUAACACGUGGAUAACCUACCUAUAAGACUGGGAUAACUUCGGGAAACCGGAGCUAAUACCGGAUAAUAUAUUGAACCGCAUGGUUCAAUAGUGAAAGACGGUUUUGCUGUCACUUAUAGAUGGAUCCGCGCCGCAUUAGCUAGUUGGUAAGGUAACGGCUUACCAAGGCGACGAUGCGUAGCCGACCUGAGAGGGUGAUCGGCCACACUGGAGCUGAGACACGGUCCAGACUCCUACGGGAGGCAGCAGUAGGGAAUCUUCCGCAAUGGGCGAAAGCCUGACGGAGCAACGCCGCGUGAGUGAUGAAGGUCUUCGGAUCGUAAAACUCUGUUAUUAGGGAAGAACAAAUGUGUAAGUAACUAUGCACGUCUUGACGGUACCUAAUCAGAAAGCCACGGCUAACUACGUG
rnacentral:rRNA from 1 species